rnacentral:tRNA from 1 species
UCCUGGCUGACUUAUUCAAUAAAGUGUGGGACUCUUAAUCUCAGGGUCAUGGGUUCAAACCCCACACUGGGUG